UGAACGCUGGCGGCAGGCCUAACACAUGCAAGUCGAACGGUAGCACAGAGAGCUUGCUCUCGGGUGACGAGUGGCGGACGGGUGAGUAAUGUCUGGGAAACUGCCCGAUGGAGGGGGAUAACUACUGGAAACGGUAGCUAAUACCGCAUAACGUCUUCGGACCAAAGUGGGGGACCUUCGGGCCUCACACCAUCGGAUGUGCCCAGAUGGGAUUAGCUAGUAGGUGGGGUAAUGGCUCACCUAGGCGACGAUCCCUAGCUGGUCUGAGAGGAUGACCAGCCACACUGGAACUGAGACACGGUCCAGACUCCUACGGGAGGCAGCAGUGGGGAAUAUUGCACAAUGGGCGCAAGCCUGAUGCAGCCAUGCCGCGUGUAUGAAGAAGGCCUUCGGGUUGUAAAGUACUUUCAGCGGGGAGGAAGGCGAUGGAGUUAAUAGCUUCAUCGAUUGACGUUACCCGCAGAAGAAGCACCGGCUAACUCCGUGCCAGCAGCCGCGGUAAUACGGAGGGUGCAAGCGUUAAUCGGAAUUACUGGGCGUAAAGCGCACGCAGGCGGUCUGUCAAGUCGGAUGUGAAAUCCCCGGGCUUAACCUGGGAACUGCAUUCGAAACUGGCAGGCUAGAGUCUUGUAGAGGGGGGUAGAAUUCCAGGUGUAGCGGUGAAAUGCGUAGAGAUCUGGAGGAAUACCGGUGGCGAAGGCGGCCCCCUGGGACAAAGACUGACGCUCAGGUGCGAAAGCGUGGGGAGCAAACAGGAUUAGAUACCCUGGUAGUCCACGCCGUAAACGAUGUCGACUUGGAGGUUGUGCCCUUGAGGCGUGGCUUCCGGAGCUAACGCGUUAAGUCGACCGCCUGGGGAGUACGGCCGCAAGGUUAAAACUCAAAUGAAUUGACGGGGGCCCGCACAAGCGGUGGAGCAUGUGGUUUAAUUCGAUGCAACGCGAAGAACCUUACCUACUCUUGACAUCCAGCGAAUUCGGUAGAGAUACCUUAGUGCCUUCGGGAACGCUGAGACAGGUGCUGCAUGGCUGUCGUCAGCUCGUGUUGUGAAAUGUUGGGUUAAGUCCCGCAACGAGCGCAACCCUUAUCCUUUGUUGCCAGCGGUCCGGCCGGGAACUCAAAGGAGACUGCCAGUGAUAAACUGGAGGAAGGUGGGGAUGACGUCAAGUCAUCAUGGCCCUUACGAGUAGGGCUACACACGUGCUACAAUGGCGCAUACAAAGAGAAGCGACCUCGCGAGAGCAAGCGGACCUCAUAAAGUGCGUCGUAGUCCGGAUUGGAGUCUGCAACUCGACUCCAUGAAGUCGGAAUCGCUAGUAAUCGUAGAUCAGAAUGCUACGGUGAAUACGUUCCCGGGCCUUGUACACACCGC
rnacentral:rRNA from 1 species